rnacentral:rRNA from 1 species
UUCUGGUUGAUCCUGCCGGAGGCUACCGCUAUUGGAGUUCGAUUAAGCCAUGCGAGUCGAGAGUCUUAGGGACUCGGCGUACCGCUCAGUAACACGUGGGUAACCUGCCCUAUGCUGGGGAAUAACCUCGGGAAACUGAGAAUAAUACCUCAUAGUCCACAAUGCCUGGAACGGUUUGUGGAUUAAAGCCCCGGCGGCAUAGGAUGGGCCUGCGGCGUAUCAGGUUGUAGGGGGUGUAACGUACCCUCUAGCCAUCAACGCGUACGGGUGUUGGGAGACAUAGCCCGGAGAUGGAUUCUGAGUCACGAAUCCAGACCCUACGGGGUGCAGCAGGCGCGAAAACUUGGCAAUGCGAGAAAUCGUGACCAGGGAACUCCAAGUGGCUGGGGUAAGACCCAGUCUUUUCUUGACUCUUCAAAGGUCUUGGAAUAAGAGGUGGGUAAGGACGGUGCCAGCCGCCGCGGUAAUACCGGCGCCUCAAGUGGUAGUCGAUUUUAUUGGGCCUAAAACGUCCGUAGCCUGUUUGGUACAUUCGUGGGUAAAUCAACCAGCUUAACUGGUUGAAUUCUGCGAGCACGGCCAGACUUGGGACCGGGAGAGGUGUGGGGUACGCUCAGGGUAGGGGUAAAAUCCUGUCAUCCUGAGCGGACCACCUGUUGCGAAGGCACCACA